rnacentral:rRNA from 1 species
CCUACGGGCGGCAGCAGUGAGGAAUAUUGGUCAAUGCGCGCGAGCCUGAACCAGCCAAGUAGCGUGAAGGAUGACUGCCCUACGGGUUGUAAACUUCUUUUAUAAAGGAAUAAAGUGAGGCACGUGUGCCUUUUUGUAUGUACUUUAUGAAUAAGGAUCGGCUAACUCCGUGCCAGCAGCCGCGGUAAUACGGAGGAGCCGAGCGUUAUCCGGCUUUAUUGGGUUUAAAGGGAGCGUAGUUGGGUUGUUAAGUCAGUUGUGAAAGUUUGCGGCUCAACCGUAAAAUUGCAAUUGAUACUGGCAGCCUUGAGUACAGUUGAGGUAGGCGGAAUUCGUGGUGUAGCGGUGAAAUGCUUAGAUAUCACGAAGAACUCCGAUUGCGAAGGCAGCUUACUAAACUGCCACUGACAUUGAUGCGCGAAAGUGUGGGUAUCAAACAGGAUUAGAUACCCUAGUAGUC